rnacentral:rRNA from 1 species
AGAAGGGCGACCCGUAAUAAUGCAAGUCGAGCGAACAGAUAAGGAGCUUGCUCCUUUGACGUUAGCGGCGGACGGGUGAGUAACACGUGGAUAACCUACCUAUAAGACUGGGAUAACUUCGGGAAACCGGAGCUAAUACCGGAUAACAUAUUGAACCGCAUGGUUCAAUAGUGAAAGGCGGCUUUGCUGUCACUUAUAGAUGGAUCCGCGCCGUAUUAGCUAGUUGGUAAGGUAACGGCUUACCAAGGCAACGAUACGUAGCCGACCUGAGAGGGUGAUCGGCCACACUGGAACUGAGACACGGUCCAGACUCCUACGGGAGGCAGCAGUAGGGAAUCUUCCGCAAUGGGCGAAAGCCUGACGGAGCAACGCCGCGUGAGUGAUGAAGGUCUUCGGAUCGUAAAACUCUGUUAUCAGGGAAGAACAAAUGUGUAAGUAACUGUGCACAUCUUGACGGUACCUGAUCAGAAAGCCACGGCUAACUACGUGCCAGCAGCCGCGGUAAUACGUAGGUGGCAAGCGUUAUCCGGAAUUAUUGGGCGUAAAGCGCGCGUAGGCGGUUUUUUAAGUCUGAUGUGAAAGCCCACGGCUCAACCGUGGAGGGUCAUUGG